CCCUUAGAUGUUCUGGGCCGCACGCGCGCUACACUGAUGCAUUCAACAAGCCUAGCCUUGACCGAGAGGUCCGGGUAAUCUUUGAAACUGCAUCGUGAUGGGGCUAGAUUAUUGCAAUUAUUAAUCUUCAACGAGGAAUGCCUAGUAAGCGUGAUUCAUCAAAUCGCGUUGAUUACGUCCCUGCCCUUUAUACACACCGCCCGUCGCUCCUACCGAUUGAAUGUGUUGGUGAGGAGCUCGGAUUGGCAGCAGUUGGUGGUUCGCCACCGGCUAUUGCUGAGAAGUCCUCCAAACCGCCCCAUUUAGAGGAAGGAGAAGUCGUAACA
rnacentral:rRNA from 1 species